rnacentral:rRNA from 1 species
UAUGAACGCUGGCGGCAGGCCUAACACAUGCAAGUCGAGCGGAUGAAGAGAGCUUGCUCUCUGAUUCAGCGGCGGACGGGUGAGUAAUGCCUAGGAAUCUGCCUGGUAGUGGGGGACAACGUUUCGAAAGGAGCGCUAAUACCGCAUACGUCCUACGGGAGAAAGCAGGGGACCUUCGGGCCUUGCGCUAUCAGAUGAGCCUAGGUCGGAUUAGCUAGUUGGUGAGGUAAAGGCUCACCAAGGCGACGAUCCGUAACUGGUCUGAGAGGAUGAUCAGUCACACUGGAACUGAGACACGGUCCAGACUCCUACGGGAGGCAGCAGUGGGGAAUAUUGGACAAUGGGCGAAAGCCUGAUCCAGCCAUGCCGCGUGUGUGAAGAAGGUCUUCGGAUUGUAAAGCACUUUAAGUUGGGAGGAAGGGCAGUAAGCUAAUACCUUGCUGUUUUGACGUUACCGACAGAAUAAGCACCGGCUAACUUCGUGCCAGCAGCCGCGGUAAUACGAAGGGUGCAAGCGUUAAUCGGAAUUACUGGGCGUAAAGCGCGCGUAGGUGGUUCGUUAAGUUGGAUGUGAAAGCCCCGGGCUCAACCUGGGAACUGCAUCCAAAACUGGCGAGCUAGAGUAUGGCAGAGGGUGGUGGAAUUUCCUGUGUAGCGGUGAAAUGCGUAGAUAUAGGAAGGAACCCCAGUGGCGAAGCGACCACCUGGGCUAUACUGACACUGAGGUGCGAAAGCGGGGGAGCAAACAGGAUAGAUACCCUGGUAGUCACGCCGUAAACGAUGUCGACUAGCCGUUGGAU